UGGGGAAUUUUGGACAAUGGGGGAAACCCUGAUCCAGCCAUCCCGCGUGUGCGAUGAAGGCCUUCGGGCUGUAAAGCACUUUUGGCAGGAAAGAAACGUCAUGGGUUAAUACCCCGUGAAACUGACGGUACCUGCAGAAUAAGCACCGGCUAACUACGUGCCAGCAGCCGCGGUAAUACGUAGGGUGCAAGCGUUAAUCGGAAUUACUGGGCGUAAAGCGUGCGCAGGCGGUUCGGAAAGAAAGAUGUGAAAUCCCAGAGCUCAACUUUGGAACUGCAUUUUUAACUACCGGGCUAGAGUGUGUCAGAGGGAGGUGGAAUUCCGCGUGUAGCAGUGAAAUGCGUAGAUAUGCGGAGGAACACCGAUGGCGAAGGCAGCCUCCUGGGAUAACACUGACGCUCAUGCACGAAGGCGUGGGGAGCAAACAGG
rnacentral:rRNA from 1 species